UACGUAGGGUGCAAGCGUUGUCCGGAAUUAUUGGGCGUAAAGAGCUCGUAGGCGGUCUGGCGCGUCGGCUGUGAAAUCUCGGGGCUCAACCCCGAGCCUGCAGUCGAUACGGGCAGACUAGAGUGCUGUAGGGGAGACUGGAAUUCCUGGUGUAGCGGUGAAAUGCGCAGAUAUCAGGAGGAACACCGGUGGCGAAGGCGGGUCUCUGGGCAGUAACUGACGCUGAGGAGCGAAAGCGUGGGGAGCGAACAGG
rnacentral:rRNA from 1 species